rnacentral:rRNA from 1 species
GUAGGGUGCGAGCGUUAAUCGGAAUUACUGGGCGUAAAGUGUGCGCAGGCGGCGGAGCAAGUCGAGUGUGAAAGCCCCGGGCUUAACCUGGGAAUUGCGCUCGAAACUACUUUGCUGGAGUGUGGCAGAGGAAGGUGGAAUUCCACGUGUAGCGGUGAAAUGCGUAGAGAUGUGGAGGAACACCGAUGGCGAAGGCAGCCUUCUGGGCCAACACUGACGCUCAUGCACGAAAGCGUGGGGAGCAAACAGGAUUAGAUACCCUGGUAGUCCACGCCCUAAACGAUGAUGACUAGUUGUUGGGGGAGUUAAAUCCCUUAGUAACGCAGCUAACGCGUGAAGUCAUCCGCCUGGGGAGUACGGUCGCAAGAUUAAA